rnacentral:lncRNA from 1 species
CACAAACAAUUAAAUAAAUAAAUGAACAUACAAGUAAACAAUUAGGAUUAAGCAAAUAACUGAAAAAAGAAACAAAAGUGUAAUUAUUUGAAUAAAAGGGUAAAUGAAAUAAAGAAAUAAGGAAGGGGUAACCCCAUACGGGUUCUUUGACCCUCAAAUUCGAAAGGGGAUUUCAAUCCCUUCCUCACCCUUACAUCAAGGGAUUAAAGUUAAAGAAGCUUUUGUAUAUUGUAACUACACUUACUGUUCAUAAUUAGAAAUCAUUUAGUGUAUAAGCUAGCUCUUAAAAUCAGAGGAACUUGACACUACAAUAUCUGUUAGGACCGUUGACAUUGGGAUGUAUGUGGUAGGAGUAUUGUACAAAAGUCUCUCCCUUUAUCUUUUUUAGCCUUCCCUUUUUAGUUGAUUGGCACAAUGCUUCCUUUUACUCAAUAUGCAAAGUGGUACCUCCUUCCUUUUUUCAGAAUACCUCUACCUCUUAUAUGAUUUUUCUGCUAUGAAAAUCUCUCUCCUUUGCUCUCUGAUUUGCCCUAUAUGGUAUGUGUGUGUAAAGGUCUCUCUUUACUCAUAUGUUAUCCUCUCUUAUCUUUCUUAUCUAAUGGCUGUUUCUUGUACUUUUUUUUGUCCCUGUGUAGCCUGUGUAUGCGCUGCCUUUUAUAGCUGAGUAUGGGUUAAUACAAAAACCCUUUGAAUUACUAACUGAAAUUUAGUAAUAUGUACUGAAUUUUUGCUCUCUGAUUAUAUCACUCUGAAACUGCUCAAUAACUGUCCUCAUUCAUGCUUAUUAUGAUUAUUGUAAUUGAAAUUUGGAUAACUUAUGAGGUAGAAUUUCUGAUGUAUAUCUCCAUUAUUGCCACUUUUGAUUACCUCAUGAUUGCUGCUAUUUAUGUGGCUUGUGUAAUUGAAAUGCCAAUAAUGCUAUAUUCUAUCUUUUGAGUGUCAUUUUGCUUGGAACCUUUAUUGCCAUCAUUUGAUAUUUUGCUGAUUGGCAUGAUUGAUUUUCUAUAUUCCUUUUCUCUUAAUGCUAUUACAUUGAUGUUUCAGAGUGUCGCGGUUUGCAGGGAAGAGAAUCUGAUUGAAUGGUGCAGGGUCCAUGAUACUGAUUUUAGGAAUGUGGGUCUGAAUGUAAUAGUGAAGUAUGAGAGACACUUUGUAAUGUGAAGUCAUUUCUUAGGACUUAUUGCAUUGACAGUUAUCAUGUGUUUACUGCCAUCUAGUUAGUAACUUAAUGGCUAGAAAAAUAAUUCAGAAUAUCCUUAUUGGCAUGUGGCUACCUUUUAUUCUUCUGUUGCAUAUUGGCUUUCUAUAUUUCUUUUUCACUUGUCUCCCUUCCCACUUUUACGUUACUUCAUUUUGUUUUUUAGAGCCAUAAUGAGAUGUUGGACUUUAUUGAUUAAGAGCUUAAAAUUGUUAUUUGCCA